GUGCACAAUUUCAUUGUCUUUUUUCCUUUACAUCAGGAAAAAAGAUAUUUCUGAUGUGCUAAAUAAACUUUCGGAGGUCUAUUAGCAGCAUGACUAAUAUAGCCAUUGCUGUCAGUCACCUUCAGACAAGC
rfam:Ailuropoda melanoleuca scaffold1120_34, whole genome shotgun sequence.